rnacentral:tRNA from 1 species
GGUAGGAUGGCUGAGUUAAGCGGUGGCUUGUAGUCCCACAGACAGAGGUUUGAUCCCUCUUCUUAUCA